rnacentral:rRNA from 1 species
AAUUGUUCGCAAUGGGCGCAAGCCUGACGACGCAACGCCGCGUGGAGGAUGAAGAUCUUCGGGUCGUAAACUCCUGUCGAGCGGGACGAACACUUACCGGGCUAACAUCCGGGUAGGCCGACGGUACCGCUAAAGGAAGCCCCGGCUAACUUCGUGCCAGCAGCCGCGGUAAGACGAAGGGGGCUAGCGUUGUUCGGAAUUACUGGGCGUAAAGCGAGUGUAGGUGGUUGUCAUAGUCAGGUGUGAAAGCCUUGAGCUCAACUCAAGAAAUGCACUUGAUACUGGGCGACUAGAGGACCGGAGAGGAUAGUGGAAUUCCCAGUGUAGUGGUGAAAUACGUAGAGAUUGGGAAGAACACCAGUGGCGAAGGCGGCUAUCUGGACAGUUUCUGACACUAAGACUCGAAAGCGUGGGGAGCAAAC